rnacentral:rRNA from 1 species
GGGACACUGUCAGGUGGGCAGUUUGACUGGGGCGGUCGCCUCCCAAAAGGUAACGGAGGCGCUCAAAGGUUCUCUCAGUACGGUCGGAAAGCGUACGUAGAGUGUAAAGGCAAAAGAGAGCUUGAUUGCAAGACAUACAGGUCGAGCAAGGAUGAAAAGCGGACUUAGUGAUCCGGUGGUUCUGCGUGGAAGGGCCAUCGCUCAACGGAUAAAAGCUACCCUGGGGAUAACAGGCUUAUCUCCCCCAAGAGUCCACAUCGACGGGGAGGUUUGGCACCUCGAUGUCGGCUCAUCACAUCCUGGGGCUGUAGUAG